rnacentral:tRNA from 4 species
GUCUGGGUGGUGUAGUUGGUUAUCACGUUAGUCUCACACACUAAAGGUCCCCAGUUCGAACCUGGGCUUAGACA